AAAUGGAAGACAGUAUUCAUGGUGGGAUGGGCUGGUAUCUACUUGAUAUACUGUUGUACAAUACCCCUUUACUCAGCUCUAGGGUUGUUAUAUAAAAAAUUCAAUAAAGAUAUUGUUGAAAAA